rnacentral:lncRNA from 1 species
UUACUCGAAACUCACAUCCACAGAAACGCUGCUAUGUAGGGCGCCAAAGGCGACGCGCUGGCGGCAAGCUCCAAGCCAACCAGGCCCGUUGCGUCCGUCCGUCUGCAGGAACCUGUCUCUUCA